rnacentral:lncRNA from 1 species
AAGCUCAUCGCUGGCAUAUAAUAUCUUUUGCGUGAAGAUGAGAAGUGCUAGAUGCCGCAGGUAUAAGAUCACCGCAGGCACAUAGAGCCACUCAUGAGGGAUAACUUAUUAGACCCUCAGAAGGCCACCGAAAGUGCAUGCCAUAGGCACAAGCUCACCACCGAUACAUAAUACCUCUUAUACGAAGAUGAGAAGUGCUAGACGUCGCAAGCACAAAAUCGCCACAGGCACACAGAGCCACUUGUGAGGGAUAACUUAUCAGAUCCUUAAAAGGCCAUCAAGAGUGUAUGCCAUAGGCACAAGCUCGCCGUCGAUACAUAAUGCCUCUCGCAUGA